GGCUUGGAAGGAUGUGAACCCACCCGUGGCAGCAAGCCUCGUCUGUUUGCUCUCUCACGUUUUCCUCGCAAAAGUGCGAGAGUUUUUCUAGGUGGGACAGACGCGACACUCGGCUUCUUUCCAGCUGGAUGAGUCGCGUUUCUACACAGAGUAGAGGCGGAUCAAAAGCACCGAAAGCAGAGGAUGAAGUUACCGGGAUCUCUGGAAGUGGCGCCUGUGAUCUUUUCUUCUGCUCGAUGCUCAUCUCAGCCAGUAAGUUUC
rnacentral:lncRNA from 1 species